GACGAACGCUGGCGGCGUGCCUAAUACAUGCAAGUAGAACGCACAGUUUAUACCGUAGCUUGCUACACCAUAGACUGUGAGUUGCGAACGGGUGAGUAACGCGUAGGUAACCUGCCUGGUAGCGGGGGAUAACUAUUGGAAACGAUAGCUAAUACCGCAUAAUAUUGAUUAUUGCAUGAUAAUUAAUUGAAAGGUGCAAUUGCACCACUACCAGAUGGACCUGCGUUGUAUUAGCUAGUAGGUGAGGUAACGGCUCACCUAGGCGACGAUACAUAGCCGACCUGAGAGGGUGAUCGGCCAAACUGGGACUGAGAAAAGGCCCAGAACUCUACGGGAGGCAGCAGGAGGGAAUCUUCGGCAAUGGACGAAAGUCUGACCGAGCAACGCCGCGUGAGUGAAGAAGGUUUUCGGAUCGUAAAGCUUUGUUGUAAGAGAAGAACGGGUGAGAGAGUGGAAAGUUCACAACGUGACGGUAUCUUACCAGAAAGGGACGGCUAACUACGUG
rnacentral:rRNA from 1 species